rnacentral:tRNA from 1 species
GCCAUCGUGGUGUAGUGGUCAGCACGCUCGAACCGUAGCUGAGAGGUCCGUGGUUCGAUUCCCGGUGAGGGCA